rnacentral:rRNA from 2 species
GAGUUUGAUCCUGGCUCAGGACGAACGCUGGCGGCAUGCCUAAUACAUGCAAGUCGAACGAGCUUCCGUUGAAUGACGUGCUUGCACUGAUUUCAACAAUGAAGCGAGUGGCGAACUGGUGAGUAACACGUGGGRAAUCUGCCCAGAAGCAGGGGAUAACACUUGGAAACAGGUGCUAAUACCGUAUAACAACAAAAUCCGCAUGGAUUUUGUUUGAAAGGUGGCUUCGGCUAUCACUUCUGGAUGAUCCCGCGGCGUAUUAGUUAGUUGGUGAGGUAAAGGCCCACCAAGACGAUGAUACGUAGCCGACCUGAGAGGGUAAUCGGCCACAUUGGGACUGAGACACGGCCCAAACUCCUACGGGAGGCAGCAGUAGGGAAUCUUCCACAAUGGACGAAAGUCUGAUGGAGCAAUGCCGCGUGAGUGAAGAAGGGUUUCGGCUCGUAAAACUCUGUUGUUAAAGAAGAACACCUUUGAGAGUAACUGUUCAAGGGUUGACGGUAUUUAACCAGAAAGCCACGGCUAACUACGUGCCAGCAGCCGCGGUAAUAC